rnacentral:rRNA from 1 species
GGGGAAUAUUGGACAAUGGGGGGAACCCUGAUCCAGCCAUGCCGCGUGUGUGAAGAAGGCCUUAUGGUUGUAAAGCACUUUAAGCGAGGAGGAGGCUCUUUUGGUUAAUACCCAAGAUGAGUGGACGUUACUCGCAGAAUAAGCACCGGCUAACUCUGUGCCAGCAGCCGCGGUAAUACAGAGGGUGCGAGCGUUAAUCGGAUUUACUGGGCGUAAAGCGUGCGUAGGCGGCUUUUUAAGUCGGAUGUGAAAUCCCCGAGCUUAACUUGGGAAUUGCAUUCGAUACUGGGAAGCUAGAGUAUGGGAGAGGAUGGUAGAAUUCCAGGUGUAGCGGUGAAAUGCGUAGAGAUCUGGAGGAAUACCGAUGGCGAAGGCAGCCAUCUGGCCUAAUACUGACGCUGAGGUACGAAAGCAUGGGGAGCAAACAGGAUUAGAUACCCUGGUAGUCCAUGCCGUAAACGAUGUCUACUAGCCGUUGGGGUCUUUGAGACUUUAGUGGCGCAGCUAACGCGAUAAGUAGACCGCCUGGGGAGUACGGUCGCAAGACUAAAAC